UAGGGAAUAUUGGGCAAUGGAGGCAACUCUGACCCAGCAACGCCGCGUGAAUGAAGAAGGUUUUCGGAUUGUAAAGUUCUUUUCUCUGAGACGAACAAAAUGACGGUAUCAGAGGAAUAAGCCCCGGCAAACUACGUGCCAGCAGCCGCGGUAAUACGUAGGGGGCAAGCGUUGUCCGGAAUGACUGGGCGUAAAGGGUGUGUAGGCGGUUUGCCACGUCGUAUGUGAAAGCCCCGAGCUUAACUCGGGAACUGCAUACGAUACGGGUAGACUAGAGUGCAGGAGAGGUCGGUGGAAUUCCUAGUGUAGCGGUAGAAUGCGUAGAUAUUAGGAGGAACAUCAGAGGCGAAGGCGGCCGACUGGACUGUAACUGACGCUGAGACACGAAAGCGUGGGGAGCAAACA
rnacentral:rRNA from 1 species